rnacentral:rRNA from 1 species
UCGCCUGCACGAAGCCGGAGUUGCUAGUAAUCGCGGAUCAGAAUGCCGCGGUGAAUGCGUUCCCGGGUCUUGUACACACCGCCCGUCACACCAUGGAAGUUGGGGGUGCCCAAAGCCGGCAGGGAAAUAUGCUGUCUAAGGCAAAACCAAUGACUGGGGUGAAGUCGUAACAAGGUACC